CAGGACCAUCUGGCAAAAGGUGCCCAGGCCUUGAGCAUGCAGAGAACCUGAUGGACCCAGAGGGGCCGUGGGACAAAGAGGACCUGUGAAGAUGGAUAUUGGAUGACGUCAUGCACUGCUUGAGGAAGUGAGAACCCCAGAAGGCCCAGAUGGAAGCUCGGUGUCGGAAAUUGGGAUGGUCAGAGAGACGACAGUUUUGCUUCUUGAACCCCCAAGAUGCAGGAGAUGCAGAGUUAACAGAAGCCUAGAUGAGAACGACUUACUGCUGGAGGCAGGGGACCAGACCAUCAGAAGCAGCUGGCUGGACUCUGCAAGGCGCCAGUGCCCUGAGGAAAUCGGAGACUGUCUUCCAGGGGGACGGAAGCACACUCGCUGGCUAAGAUUCUCCGGUCCUCCCCUUUGAGUCAGAGAGAGAAAUUUCCCCAGGAGGCAGGCUCCCACUCUCUGACCAUUGCAAGAGGCCCCAGGGGAUGGUAGGGCCACAAGAUGGAAGGAGCUUGGGUUCCUGUGUUACCACAUGGAGAAAAGCUGCUGUCCACCAGGAACACUGAGAUUAACUGCGGUGAGAAAUAAAUUCCUACCAUAUUAAGCCACUGACAUUCUGGAGUUCAUCUAUUAUAGCAACUAGUGUUUCUCUGACUAAUACCUGCCUGCCUUGAUUGAAUUGGAGACUAAAAGUGAAUUUCUAAUCAGAAUGA